UCCUGCAUAUAUUAGGUAUUUGUCCUAAUGUUCUCCCUCCCCUGCCCCCCACCCCCUGACAGGCCCUAGUGUGUGCUGUUUCCUUCCCUGUGUCCAUGUGUUCUCAUUGUUCAACAGGGAGAAUAUAUUUUUAAACAUGUUUGGAACAAAGUAGAUUCAUAAUAGUAGUUGCUGUCAUGAUUACCGCCAUCAUCACCAUCAUCCCCAGGUAUCACCAUGGGCUGGUCAGACGUGUGAAAGUGGCAGAAGAGAAGAAAUGUUGAAGGCUUUUGUUUCUUUCUUCAAUACACCUUGCCUCUUAUAAGAGGCUCUGCAAGAUUCCCUGUGAUGAUUCUACAUUUGCCAAAAUAAUAAGAGGAAGGACACUCUUCACUUGCUUGAUACUGCAGACAAAGUGGACACUGUGAACAUCACCAUGGGUGGGAGGAAGGCAGAACCUCCAACUGGUCCUGAUUGGUGAUAGUAAAAUGGAGACACUGAGACCCUGACCCUCUUGAGAGGUAAAGGGCGAGUUCUCCUUUCUCCUGCA